rnacentral:rRNA from 1 species
GACAGAGGGUGCGAACGUUGUUCGGAAUCACUGGGCGUAAAGGGUGCGUAGGCGGGUCUUUAAGUCAGGGGUGAAAUCCUGGAGCUCAACUCCAGAACUGCCUUUGAUACUGAAGAUCUUGAGUUCGGGAGAGGUGAGUGGAACUGCGAGUGUAGAGGUGAAAUUCGUAGAUAUUCGCAAGAACACCAGUGGCGAAGGCGGCUCACUGGCCCGAUACUGACGCUGAGGCACGAAAGCGUGGGGAGCAAACAGG